AUCAGCUUGUUGGUGAGGUAACGGCUCACCAAGGCGACGACGGGUACCGGGGCUGAGAGGUUGACCCGGCGCAUCGGGACUGAGACACUGCCCGGACUCCUACGGGAGGCUGCAGCACCGAAUAUUCCACAAUGGGCGAGAGCCUGAUGGAGCGACGCCGCGUGUGGGAGUAAGCCCUUCGGGGUGUAAACCACUGUCAGGGAUCACCAAGCGACCGGGGCGAACAGUCCCGGAAGUUGAGGAGUCCCAGAGGAAGUCACGGCUAACUUCGUGCCAGCAGCCGCGGUAAGACGAAGGUGGCGAGCGUUGCUCGGAAUUACUGGGCUUAAAGAGCACGUAGGUGGGCUUGCAAGCGUCUUGUGAAAGCCCCCGGUUUACCCGGGGAAUUGCAGGGCGAACUGCCAGCCUUGAGGGCGUGUAAGGGCGAGUUGGAACUCUUGCGUGGAGCGGUGGAAUGCGGUAGAUGUCAAGAGGAACGCCGGAGGGUUGAAGACGAACUCGCUGGGCCUGUCCUGACACUGAGGUGCGAAAGCCAGGGGACGCAACGGGAUUAGAUACCCCCGGUAGUCCUGGCCUUAAACGAUGUCCACUAGGUCGGAGGCCUUCUGACAGGCUUCUGGCUGCAAGAAAACCAUUAAGUGGACCGCCUGGGGAGUACGGUCGCAAGGCUAAAACUCAAAGGAAUUGACGGGGGCUCACACAAGCGGUGGAGCAUGUUGCUCAAUUCGAUGCAACGCGAAGAACCUUAUCCUGGGCUUGACAUGUUCGGAUGCCUCCCUGGAAACAGGGUUGGUUGCCCUUCGGGGUGAAACGUUCACAGGUGCUGCAUGGCUGUCGUCAGCUCGUGUCGUGAGAUGUUGGGUUAAGUCCCGUAACGAGCGAAACCCUUGUCGCUAGUUGCCUAGCGAGUUAUGUCGGGGACUCUAGCGAGACUGCCGGUGUCAAACCGGAGGAAGGUGGGGAUGACGUCAAGUCCUCAUG
rnacentral:rRNA from 1 species